CAGUCGCCGCGGUAAUACGAAGGGGGCUAGCGUCGUUCGGAUUUACUGGGCGUAAAGGGCGCGUAGGCGGUUUAGACAGUCGGGUGUGAAAUUCCUGGGCUUAACCUGGGGACUGCAUUCGAGACGUUUAGGCUUGAGUGGGGAAGAGGGUUGUGGAAUUCCCAGUGUAGAGGUGAAAUUCGUAGAUAUUGGGAAGAACACCAGUGGCGAAGGCGACACACUGGCCCAUUACUGACGCUGAGGCUCGAAAGCGUGGGGAGCAAACAGGAUUAGAUACCCCCGUAGUCCCUGUCUCUUAUAC
rnacentral:rRNA from 1 species